AACGAACGCUGGCGGCAGGCCUAACACAUGCAAGUCGAACGCGUGUAGCAAUACACGAGUGGCGCACGGGUGAGUAACACGUGGGAAUCAACCCAGAGGUUCGGAAUAACCGCGGGAAACUGCGGCUAAUACCGGAUAUCCCCUACGGGGGAAAGAUUUAUCGCCUUUGGACGAGCCCGCGUCCGAUUAGCUAGUUGGUGAGGUAACGGCUCACCAAGGCUACGAUCGGUAGCUGGUCUGAGAGGAUGACCAGCCACACUGGAACUGAGAUACGGUCCAGACUCCUACGGGAGGCAGCAGUGGGGAAUAUUGGGCAAUGGAGGCAACUCUGACCCAGCCAUGCCGCGUGGGUGACGAAGGUCUUCGGAUUGUAAAGCCCUUUCGGCGGGGACGAUGAUGACGGUACCCGCAGAAGAAGCCCCGGCUAACUUCGUGCCAGCCGCCGCCGUAACAC
rnacentral:rRNA from 1 species